ensembl:lncRNA
GCAGCAACAUCAACAAUGACAGCAAAGGCAGCAACUGUAGCAGCAACAUCCCCAGCAACCCCCCUCAACAUCAGCUGUUCCUUGUAUAAAGUAAAGGGAUGUACAGGAAGCUCACUCAGGAAACAGGAAAGGUGUUUGCACACUCCUGCACAAUGCAGUUAUUAGCAGCUUGAAGAGGUUGUUGGGGAGGUUUAUGCUCAGAAGUAUUGUCACGGUAAUACAGAAAAUAGCUGGAGCUACAUUAUUAUCUUUUAAAAAGUGGUUGGUUACCCACUGGGAGUGUCACUUGGAACUACUGGGUGAAAAACAUGCAACUUGUCUUCAAGACUAUUGCUAUCUUACAUUUCAUGUAUACACAGACAAAAAUUAAAACAACAGUGUCAUUUAUUAAAAUUACAUUUUAAAGUGGUCUAAUCAAUUAAUAUCAUUAUGAUUAUUAUUAUUAUUAUUAUUAUGUACUUUUUAUAGUACAUAACAGAAAUAUGAUGCAUAUUAAAAA